rnacentral:rRNA from 1 species
CGGCGACGGGUGAGUAACACGUGGAUAACCUACCUAUAAGACUGGGAUAACUUCGGGAAACCGGAGCUAAUACCGGAUAAUAUAUUGAACCGCAUGGUUCAAUAGUGAAAGACGGUUUUGCUGUCACUUAUAGAUGGAUCCGCGCCGCAUUAGCUAGUUGGUAAGGUAACGGCUUACCAAGGCAACGAUGCGUAGCCGACCUGAGAGGGUGAUCGGCCACACUGGAACUGAGACACGGUCCAGACUCCUACGGGAGGCAGCAGCC